rnacentral:lncRNA from 1 species
UAACAUAGUGGUUGAAACCAGAGGUUGUGCUCCAAUUCUAACUUGUACCCAGAUGUUGAAAUGAAGAGGGACUGCGGAACCGGCGGCCCAGGACCAUGAACUCUGUGCUGACCAAGUGCGGGUCCCCCCCGCGGAGCUGGCUCAAUCUGCGCCUGGGGAUGAGUUUUCGGUAAUUGCUGGUGCUUAGAGGCAGAUGCUGCUGCUUCAAAGAGUGGAAAUCCUGGUGUCCUGG